AGCGGUUCCUACUCCUGCAAACACAGAAAUAGUUCAUAGUUUACCCACCAUCUCCAUCACAGAGGAACAUGUGGGCGCUGGUCUAGAGUGUCCUGUGUGCAAAGAAGACUACCGCAUUGAGGAGAGUGUUAGACAACUGCCGUGCUGUCACUUUUUUCACAAUGACUGUAUAUUACCAUGGCUGGAACGGCGCAAUACAUGUCCUGUGUGCAGGAGGAGUCUUAAUGAACAGCAAGUGGCCACAGUCCAACCAGGGUUAUCAGAAGUGGACUUAUUUCCCCCAGCCUCCUCCUCCUCCUCCUCCUCCUCCUCUUCCUCCU